GAUGAACGCUGGCGGCGUGCCUAAUACAUGCAAGUCGAGCUAACGGACGAGAAGCUUGCUUCUCUGAUGUUAGCGGCGGACGGGUGAGUAACACGUGGAUAACCUACCUAUAAGACUGGGAUAACUUCGGGAAACCGGAGCUAAUACCGGAUAAUAUUUUGAACCGCAUGGUUCAAAAGUGAAAGACGGUCUUGCUGUCACUUAUAGAUGGAUCCGCGCUGCAUUAGCUAGUUGGUAAGGUAACGGCUUACCAAGGCAACGAUGCAUAGCCGACCUGAGAGGGUGAUCGGCCACACUGGAACUGAGACACGGUCCAGACUCCUACGGGAGGCAGCAGUAGGGAAUCUUCCGCAAUGGGCGAAAGCCUGACGGAGCAACGCCGCGUGAGUGACGAAGGUCUUCGGAUCGUAAAACUCUGUUAUUAGGGAAGAACAUAUGUGUAAGUAACUGUGCACAUCUUGACGGUACCUAAUCAGAAAGCCACGGCUAACUACGUG
rnacentral:rRNA from 1 species